ACGAUGAAGCUCUAGCUUGCUAGAGUGGAUUAGUGGCGCACGGGUGAGGAAUAUAUAGCUAAUGUGCCCCAUAGAGGGGGAUAACAGUUGGAAACGACUGCUAAUACCCCAUACUCCUUCUUCUCAUAAGGGAAGUCGGGAAAGUUUUUUCGCUAUGGGAUCGGGCUAUACGGUAUCAGCUUGUUGGUGAGGUAACGGCUCACCAAGGCUAUGACGCCUAUCUGGUCUGAGAGGAUGAUCAGACACACUGGAACUGAGACACGGUCCAGACUCCUACGGGAGGCAGCAGUGGGGAAUAUUACACAAUGGAGGCAACUCUGAUGUAGCAACGCCGCGUGGAGGAUGACACAUUUCGGUGCGUAAACUCCUUUUAUAUAGGAAGAUAAUGACGGUACUAUAUGAAUAAGCACCGGCUAACUCCGUGCCAGCAGCCGCGGUAAUACGGAGGGUGCAAGCGUUACUCGGAAUCACUGGGCGUAAAGCGCGCGCAGGCGGCCCCUUAAGUUGGAUGUGAAAUCCUAUGGCUCAACCAUAGAACUGCAUCCAAAACUGAGGGGCUAGAGUCUGGGAGGGGAAGAUGGAAUUAGUGGUGUAGGGGUAAAAUCCGUAGAGAUCACUAGGAAUACCAAAAGCGAAGGCGAUCUUCUGGAACAGUACUGACGCUGAGGCGCGAAAGCGUGGGGAGCAAACAGGAUUAGAUACCCUGGUAGUCCACGCCCUAAACUAUGAAUGUUAGUCGUCGGGAGGCUCGUCCUCUCGGUGAUGCAGCUAACGCAUUAAACAUUCCGCCUGGGGAGUACGGUCGCAAGAUUAAAACUCAAAGGAAUAGACGGGGACCCGCACAAGUGGUGGAGCAUGUGGUUUAAUUCGAAGAUACGCGAAGAACCUUACCUGGCCUUGACAUUGAUAGAAUCUGCUAGAGAUAGCGGAGUGCCCUUCGGGGAGCUUGAAAACAGGUGCUGCACGGCUGUCGUCAGCUCGUGUCGUGAGAUGUUGGGUUAAGUCCCGCAACGAGCGCAACCCUCGUCACUAGUUACUAACGGUUCGGCCGAGGACUCUA
rnacentral:rRNA from 1 species